CCCCUAGGCAGGCUCCUGCAGUACGUGUCUUCUGCAUCACGGGGCUCCUGCAGCUCUCAUGACUUCUGAAAUGCCAGACUCAUUCAGUGCAUAUAACUUAUACAGGGCCUGCUUCACUAACUCGAAUGGCUUAUGUAGCGCCUGGUUUCAGCAGUGCUCAGCUCAGCACCUCUCAUGAGUGGCUUCCUUGGCAUCUCUUGCAUGUCUGUAAUAGAGUGCUACUGGUCUGACACCACCCGUUGAAUGGCUUCUUCUGGAAAUCGCUCAGGUGACUUUGCAGAGAUAUCACAAUGAGAUAUCACCCCCACACUGGUCAAAAUGGCCAUCAUUAAAACGUCUGCAAAUAAAUUCUGGGGAAGGUGUGGAGAAAAGGGAACCCUCAGAACAGUAUGGAGUCUCCUUAAAAAAUUAAAAAUAGAGUUACCAUAUGAUCCUACUAUUCCACUCCUGGGCAUACAUCCAGAAAAUAUGAAAACUCUACUUCAAAAAGAUAUAUACCUCAGUGUUCACAGCAGCAGCAAUAUUUAUAAUAGCCAAGACAUGGAAGCAACAUACAUAUCCAUCAACAGAUGAAUGGUUCUUUUUCUUGGGGAUGAUUUUGAUCACCGCCUCCUGUACAGUGUUACAAACCUCUGCUCAUAGUUUUUCAUGUACUCUGCCAGCAAAUUUGGAAAACUCAGCAGUGGCCACAGGACUGGAAAAGGUCAGUUUUCAUUCCAAUCCCAAAGAAAGGCAAUGCCAAAGAAUGCUCAAACU
ensembl:lncRNA